AGAGUUUGAUCAUGGCUCAGAUUGAACGCUGGCGGCAGGCCUAACACAUGCAAGUCGAACGGUAACAGGAAGAAGCUUGCUUCUUUGCUGACGAGUGGCGGACGGGUGAGUAAUGUCUGGGAAACUGCCUGAUGGAGGGGGAUAACUACUGGAAACGGUAGCUAAUACCGCAUAACGUCGCAAGACCAAAGAGGGGGACCUUCGGGCCUCUUGCCAUCGGAUGUGCCCAGAUGGGAUUAGCUAGUAGGUGGGGUAACGGCUCACCUAGGCGACGAUCCCUAGCUGGUCUGAGAGGAUGACCAGCCACACUGGAACUGAGACACGGUCCAGACUCCUACGGGAGGCAGCAGUGGGGAAUAUUGCACAAUGGGCGCAAGCCUGAUGCAGCCAUGCCGCGUGUAUGAAGAAGGCCUUCGGGUUGUAAAGUACUUUCAGCGGGGAGGAAGGGAGUAAAGUUAAUACCUUUGCUCAUUGACGUUACCCGCAGAAGAAGCACCGGCUAACUCCGUGCCAGCAGCCGCGGUAAUACGGAGGGUGCAAGCGUUAAUCGGAAUUACUGGGCGUAAAGCGCACGCAGGCGGUUUGUUAAGUCAGAUGUGAAAUCCCCGGGCUCAACCUGGGAACUGCAUCUGAUACUGGCAAGCUUGAGUCUCGUAGAGGGGGGUAGAAUUCCAGGUGUAGCGGUGAAAUGCGUAGAGAUCUGGAGGAAUACCGGUGGCGAAGGCGGCCCCCUGGACGAAGACUGACGCUCAGGUGCGAAAGCGUGGGGAGCAAACAGGAUUAGAUACCCUGGUAGUCCACGCCGUAAACGAUGUCGACUUGGAGGUUGUGCCCUUGAGGCGUGGCUUCCGGAGCUAACGCGUUAAGUCGACCGCCUGGGGAGUACGGCCGCCAGGUUAAAACUCAAAUGAAUUGACGGGGGCCCGCACAAGCGGUGGAGCAUGUGGUUUAAUUCGAUGCAACGCGAAGAACCUUACCUGGUCUUGACAUCCACGGAAGUUUUCAGAGAUGAGAAUGUGCCUUCGGGAACCGUGAGACAGGUGCUGCAUGGCUGUCGUCAGCUCGUGUUGUGAAAUGUUGGGUUAAGUCCCGCAACGAGCGCAACCCUUAUCCUUUGUUGCCAGCGGUCCGGCCGGGAACUCAAAGGAGACUGCCAGUGAUAAACUGGAGGAAGGUGGGGAUGACGUCAAGUCAUCAUGGCCCUUACGACCAGGGCUACACACGUGCUACAAUGGCGCAUACAAAGAGAAGCGACCUCGCGAGAGCAAGCGGACCUCAUAAAGUGCGUCGUAGUCCGGAUUGGAGUCUGCAACUCGACUCCAUGAAGUCGGAAUCGCUAGUAAUCGUGGAUCAGAAUGCCACGGUGAAUACGUUCCCGGGCCUUGUACACACCGCCCGUCACACCAUGGGAGUGGGUUGCAAAAGAAGUAGGUAGCUUAACCUUCGGGAGGGCGCUUACCACUUUGUGAUUCAUGACUGGGGUGAAGUCGUAACAAGGUAACCGUAGGGGAACCUGCGGUUG
rnacentral:rRNA from 1 species